GCAUCGGUGGUUCAGUGGUAGAAUACUCGCCUGCCACGCGGGCGGCCAGGGUUCGAUUCCCAGCCGAUGCA
rnacentral:tRNA from 1 species